rnacentral:lncRNA from 1 species
GCAAGAAAGCACGCGGCAAGAAGCUUUGCAAGCAGUUAUCUCUGACAACAAUAAAGCGAAAGCAGUGGAAAAGUUUGCAGUAGUAGUGUUUAAAGUUUCACUUAUUCUUAUUACCAUCAUGAAUACUGUUCAUAAUAUAUUAAAUACGAACUUUUCCAAUCUGCCACUUGAAGAUAAGUUAAAAAUUAAAGAAUUGGGCAGGCCGUUGCCAAAUUUGAAGUUAACGCAAAUUAGUGAACGCAAAGCAGAAAACAGAAGUUUCACCCGCCAUUUUUCAAGAGACAUUUAUACAA